rnacentral:rRNA from 1 species
UACGGGAGGCAGCAGUGGGGAAUAUUGGACAAUGGGCGAAAGCCUGAUCCAGCCAUGCCGCAUGAGUGAAGAAGGCCUUCGGGUUGUAAAGCUCUUUUAGUGAGAAAGAUAAUGACGGUACUCACAGAAGAAGUCCUGGCUAACUCCGUGCCAGCAGCCGCGGUAAUACGGAGGGUGCGAGCGUUAAUCGGAAUUACUGGGCGUAAAGGGCACGCAGGCGGUUAAUUAAGUUGGAUGUGAAAUCCCCGGGCUUAACCUGGGAAUGGCAUUCAAGACUGGUUAGCUAGAGUCUUGUAGAGGGGGUAGAAUUCCAUGUGUAGCGGUGAAAUGCGUAGAGAUGUGGAGGAAUACCGGUGGCGAAGGCGGCCCCUGGACAAAGACUGACGCUCAUGUGCGAAAGCGUGGGGAGCAAACAGGGAUUAGAUACC